CCUACGUGGUGCAGCAGUGGGGAAUAUUGCGCAAUGGGCGAAAGCCUGACGCAGCGACGCCGCGUGAGGGAUGAAGGUCUUCGGAUCGUAAACCUCUGUCAGCAGGGAAGAACGGUCACUGUGCUAAUCAGCAGUGAAUUGACGGUACCUGCAAAGGAAGCACCGGCUAACUCCGUGCCAGCAGCCGCGGUAAUACGGAGGGUGCGAGCGUUAAUCGGAAUUACUGGGCGUAAAGCGCUCGUAGGCGGUAUGUCAAGUCAAGGGUGAAAUCCCCGCGCUCAACGUGGGAACUGCCUUUGAAACUGGCAAACUGGAGUGUGUGAGAGGAUAGUGGAAUUCCAGGUGUAGGAGUGAAAUCCGUAGAUAUCUGGAGGAACAUCAGUGGCGAAGGCGACUAUCUGGCACAUAACUGACGCUGAGGAGCGAAAGCGUGGGUAGCAAACAGGAUUAGAUACCCUGGUAGUC
rnacentral:rRNA from 1 species